AGAAUGUGAAAAAUGUGGCAUGAAGUAGACCAUGAAAAAGACACUUGUUUACAGAAUAGGAGCUGAAAGAAGGCGGCAGAGCACAACCUUAUUUGACCUAUGCUGGGAACACGCAUGUUCGACGACUCAAAAUUUUUGCCUCUCUGCUUACCUGUGAAUGACCAUGAAAGCGCUACUGGUUUCCUGGCAAACUGCCACCAGGAAAAUCAUCUUCCCAUAGACUGAAGAAUCUCACCAUGUUCCAGUUCCCUAAAUGGAUGGAGCGCCUGGCCCCUGAUGUGCCUGUGAGCAGAGAAGGCAUUCAUCCCCAGGAGGCAGCAGGUUGACCACAAUGCCUUGUCAUCCACCUGAGCUGAUGCCAAACAACUCUUAAGACAUCCCUCACGUUACACCAUCUUGGAGUGCACAUUUGGACUCUAAAUCCUCUUCUGCAUUAGGAUUUACAGUGAAUCUACUGAGUAAAUAGCAGAUGCUGAAGAACUCGAUGAUCUGGGUCUCAAUCAGGCAGUUCUGAGCAGAAGUAUCCUCAAGUGGCCGCUCCUGAGAGUGAAAUCAGACUCCACGGGGGAAAUGGGAGGCAUUUGUGGUUUCGGGCUUUCAAUUAAUAAAGUAAAAGACAGGGACGCCUGAGUGGCUCAGUGGUUGAGUGUCUGCCUUGGCUCAGGUCCUGAUCGCGGGGUCUUGGGAUCGAGUCCUGCGUCGGGCUCCCUGUGAGGAGCCUGCUUCUCCCUCUGCCUGUGUCUCUGCCUCUCUCUGUGUCUCUCAUGAAUAAAUAAAUAAAAUCUUUUUUUUUUUUUAAGUAAAAAGUAAAAGACAAAUACAGAAAAGCAGAAAGAGAAAUUUAAAAUAACCUAGGACCCCUUAACUUACGGGUAAAAUCCUGUGAGCCUUCAAGUCAUUUUCUAUGCAUCUAUUUACACAUAAGCAUAUAUAUUUGAGGGCUUUCCUGCCCCUCUUCUCUGAAGCUUCACUUUCCAUGGUUCCAACUACCUGCCAUAUCCCAAGGCCCAUGUGAUUCACUCCACGGGGGCGUGUUAUUCUCUUACAUCAUCACCAGAGGGGUAAGUGAGCGCCACACUGUAAAAUAUUUUGAGAGAGACCCCGUUCACAUAACUCUUAUUGCACUAUAUUGUUAUACUUCUUUUUUAUUAUCAGUUAUUGUUGUUAAUCUCUUUCCAAUUUAUAAUUAAACGUUAUCACAGGUAUGGAUGUAUAGGAAAAGGUGUAGGAUGUAAACAUUUUAGUACUAUCCAUGGAUUCAGACAUCCAGUGGGGAUCUUGGAAUACCCCCUGUAACUCCUUUUAUUAAACAUUGCAAAAAGCUUUCAGUUGUUUGCCUUCUUACUUUGUUCUGGAUUUUUUUUUUAAUGGAAAGAUUUAUAUACGAAAAGCCUCUGGGCCCCAAGAUCAAAUACUUUUCACCCAUGUUUCCUUCCAGUUCUUUCAUGGAUGAAAUUUUUCAUUUAACUCCCUCUUAUGACUGGAAUUUCUUUUGCUGUGUGAUGUGCAGGAUGGUUUCUUUUGUUUUGUUUUUCUGUUUCUUUCUUUCUUUUUUUUUUUUUGCAGGAUGAUUUUUGAUGGUGUUUGCAUUUGUUGAAUUGUCUUUUCUGUUUUAAAUUCAUUUGUCUCUCCUCAUACCAUUACCAUAGUGAUUCAACUAUUGUAACUUCAUCAUAUAACUUCAGAUGUGAGGGCAAGACUUCCUUCUUUUUCACUAUUGCUUCAGAAUUUGCUUAGCUAUUUGUGCCAGUUUAGUUUUUUACUUUUUUUUUUUUUGAUAAAUCUUAGAAUUAUUUUGUCAAAUUACCUUUGGAAAAUGUUCCCGUUCGAGAGUGUAACAUUUCUCUCCAUUUACUUAAAUAGCCUUUUAUAUUUUUCCUUGAUAUUUUGUCAUUUUCCUCAUCUGAGUCUUGACACAGGUAGUCUGUGGGAAAAAAUCAAUUUAGUGUUUAAAAAAAAUCAACUUUGGAUGAAAACAAAACACACUGAUAAUUUCCUGUUCAGCAGGCCACUCAUACAUUUUGAGAUAUUCUGAGCACUUGUAGAAGAAUUAUUUUUUAACAUCUGAUUAAUAUCAACUCAGAAGUUUUAAAAGAUUUUUCCCUUUGUAAAAUAUGUUCAAUAAGAUCAGCUACUUAAAGCAUUCCAUAAUUUUUUUAUGAUUUAUUUAUUUGUGUGAGAGAAAGAGCAGUGGGGAGGGACAGAGGGAGAGAAAAAAGCAGACUUCCCACUGAGCAGG